CAGAGUUGAAAAACUCCCAAACCCUUGUGAACAUACCAGUCAACGUUGCUUCGGCGGGCAGCCCCAGGGAGGGGCCGCAGCCUCCUCGUGAGGCGCCCGCCGGAGGUAUCUAAACUCUUUGUAUUAUUUUGUUAUCUCUGAGUUGUCUUUAAAUAAGUCA
rnacentral:misc_RNA from 1 species